CGGAUGUGACAGGGGCGUCCGGCAUCGGCCGGGCUGAGAAGCACCCUUUGAACCUGAACCAGAUCAUGCUGGCGGAGGGAGUCGCGGUCCUUGCCCG
rnacentral:ncRNA from 2 species